rnacentral:rRNA from 1 species
GGAAUCUUCCGCAAUGGGCUCAAGCCUGACGGAGCAACGCCGCGUGAGUGAGGAAGUUCUUCGGAACGUAAAGCUCUGUUGUUCCUGACGAACCUCCCUUCUAUCAACAACGGAGGGGACUGACGGUAGGGAACGAGGAAGCCACGGCUAACUACGUGCCAGCAGCCGCGGUAAUACGUAGGUGGCAAGCGUUAUCCGGAUUUAUUGGGCGUAAAGCGAGCGCAGGCGGUUUCUUAAGUCUGAUGUGAAAGCCUUCGGCUUAACCGAAGAAGUGCAUCGGAAACUGGGGAACUUGAGUGCAGAAGAGGACAGUGGAACUCCAUGUGUAGCGGUGAAAUGCGUAGAUAUAUGGAAGAACACCAGUGGCGAAGGCGGCUGUCUGGUCUGUAACUGACGCUGAGGCUCGAAAGCAUGGGUAGCGAACA